rnacentral:rRNA from 1 species
UACGUAGGGUGCGAGCGUUGUCCGGAAUUAUUGGGCGUAAAGAGCUCGUAGGCGGUGUGUCACGUCGGCCGUGAAAACCGGGGGCUUAACCCUCGGCGUGCGGGCGAUACGGGCAGACUUGAGUACUGCAGGGGAGACUGGAAUUCCUGGUGUAGCGGUGGAAUGCGCAGAUAUCAGGAGGAACACCGGUGGCGAAGGCGGGUCUCUGGACAGUUCCUGACACUGAGGCACGAAGGCCAGGGGAGCAAACGGG